UUUAUUGGUUGUCUUGUAUUUAGUUUAUGUUUGUGUUUGUGUUAUACUUUUAUUGAAGAAUCAUUUAUGUUGUUGUAUUUUUGUGAUUUAAUUUUUUGUGCUAUAGUUUAUUUUUACCGUAGGGGGGCUGACUUAUAUAAUUAAUUUUUAGAAGUUAAUUUUAUUUAUUGUACCUUGUGUAUCAGGGUUUAUUGAAUUUUAUUAUUUAUUUUUAUUUCCCGAUUUUGAAGGAGUUAGUGAUUUAUGUUAGUUACUGUUUUAUUAGUAUUAAUAAUAGGUUAUUGGUAGUGAAAUGUUAAUCGUCUUUAGUGGUUUCUGGUUUUUCAAGAAAUGAAUUUAAUUCAUGCUCCUUAUUUAAUUUUUACUUUUUUGUAUUUUUUUUAAUUUGGUGUUAAAAUUAAGGGGGAUUAGCUCCUUAUUUGAUGUUUAUAAUUUUUGUUUUUAUUAAUUUUUGUGGAUUUUAUAUUGAUUUUCAAUUUGAUUAUGUUAAAAUUAUUGAAAUGUUUCCUUUGCUUUUGUAUUGGAUAGUAAUUAUUGUAUAAUUAGUAAAUUUUUAUUUUACGUUAUUUAUUUGUAUGUUAGAUUCUUUUUAGGAAUUCGGCAAAUUUUGUGUCCGCCUGUUUAACAAAAACAUCUUUUCUCGUUAGUUUUUGAAGUAUGACCUGCCCACUGACUUAUUGUUGAAGGGCCGCGGUAUUUUGACCGUGCAAAGGUAGCAUAAUCAUUAGUUCUUUAAUUGUGAUCUGGUAUGAAUGGUUUGACGAGACAUUAGCUGUCUUAGAUUAGUUGAAUAAUUUUGGUUGAAUUUAGUUUUUGAGUUAAAAUUCUUAGAUGUUUUUAUGGGACGAGAAGACCCUAUAGAGUUUGACAUUUGUAUUUAUUUACUGUUAGGUUGUUUGUUUAUUUUGAUUGAAUAAGGCAAAUGUUUUGUUGGGGUGAUGGGAGGAAUUAUAUAACUCCUCUUUAAUUUAUGUAUAUUUAUGUAUAUUUGUUUUGAUCCAUUUAUUUUGAUUAUAAGAUUAAAUUACCUUAGGGAUAACAGCGUUAUCUUCCCUGAGAGUUCUUAUUGGCGGGAAGGAUUGCGACCUCGAUGUUGGAUUAAGGUAAAUUUUCGGUGCAGGAGCUGGAAUUAAUUAGGUCUGUUCGACCUUUAAAAUCUUACAUGAUCUGAGUUCAGACCGGCGUGAGCCAGGUUGGUUUCUAUCUAUAAUAUUUUUUUAUAUCUUAGUACGAGAGGACCGGGUAUUUGGAAUAAUUUUAUUUAUUA
rnacentral:rRNA from 1 species